CAUAUUACAGGGACAGUCCACUGGACCACACUGAUAAACACACACUCUCCUCUGACCACAGCGUGACAGAGGAACCAGCAAGGCUUUAGACUGAAUCUCGGAAACAUCUUCUUGUGAUCACGAUGGCGGUGCUGCAGACUGUGGUGACAUUCGCUCUCUUUCUCUCCUUCUCCUCUGCUGUGACUUUAACAUGCAACAACCUGAUGACUCCCCUGCCCUUGGAGAACUAUGAUGAAUUUACCGGGAAAUGGGUUAUUCUGGCCUUAGCUGGAGAGAGACAGCUGUCUGAACUAAAAAGCUCCUGGAUUGAGAUCUUAGCAGAUGACCAGGGCAAACAGAAAACCGUUCACUGGGCAGACAAGCUAAAUACCGGUUGUGUAGCUGGAUCUUCGGAUAUCACAUUUUCUGGAGGUGUAUCUAACAUGAUCGUUAAUUCAAAAAUCAUCAAGGGAAAGUACCUGCAGACCUGUGCUGACUGCUUCCUAUAUGCCAAGCUAUGAUGAUACCAUCUCCAACCACAUGUUCUUGGCUAAGAGAGAGGGGUCAGUUCUAGAAGAGUCUGAGAAAGAGACAUUCAGGAAACAAGCUGAGUGUGUGAACCUCCCACAGAUAACCUACCUCCAAGCAGGUGGAGCAGAUCUCUGUCCUGACAAGAGAACCCAGCAGUAAAGAGAUACUACUUACUGUACAACACAACAUGCAGUCACUGGAACCCAUUUCAGAGGGCCUCAUUAUAUUCAUCUUUUCAUCUAUCUAGUGUUGUUAUAGAGUUAGCACUUCUAGUAUUAGAGCCAGGACUAGUACUGCAUGCAUGUCACUGUCCCAAACCAGUAUUUGUUUGAAAGUGUAGCACAAAAACCUAUGUAUUCAGUGUGUUUAUGUCAGUGUUUCUCAAACUUUUUCAGACCAAGGACCA